UCCGGUCCGGGGUGCCGAAAUGACGUCAUGACGUGUGGGACACGUCGGACGACGAAAGAUGACGCCAUGACGUGUGGGACACGUCGGACGAUUACCGAUGACGAAAACGGAAGUAAAGAAAACCGGAAACAGUGAGAAAGGGCGCCAAACCUUGGAAUUUAAAAGCUGCAAUCAUGGAGAUGAAUACAAACCACUUGAGAAAGGCUAUUUUGCCGAAACGCGUCGUGGUAACUGCAUAUGGAC